rnacentral:tRNA from 1 species
GUGAGCGUAGCUCAAUUGGCAGAGCUCCGGGCUGUGGCCCCGGCGGUUGGGCGUUCGAAUCGCCUCGCUCACCCA